rnacentral:rRNA from 1 species
AUGUGUGCUUUCCCAAGAUGUCCUCCAUCUAGAGACUCUUCCUGCUCCUAUGGCACCAACAACUUGCAAGUGAAGAUGUCCAGUGAACAUGCAUCUCCCUCGCCGCUGAUGUCCAGCCACCAGCGUCGCCCUAGGUCCUGCCGCCGCCGCACGAGAGAAAUGGGAGAAGAGAUAUGGUUUGGUUUUGGGGUAGUGUGUGAUGUAACAGGAAAAGAAAGUUCCACAAGUCCUAAAAGAUUAUACCUCGGUCGCUCUGGUUACCCAAUACAGUUGAAGAGGCUGGAGUUAAAGUUGAAGCAGUUUGCUGAAGUUGAGACCUUGCUUUUGAAGGAAUGCGAGCAAGUGGAUAGAGCGAGACAGAGGAUUUCAGCUGGCCGUAUCCAGGCGAUGCGAGCCUGCUCAAAUCGCCCGGAAACUAGUUUGCCCACCAGUGGCUGUAGCACUAUGUCACCCAAUCCAACGAAUAUAAGCCCUAGACCGUUGGCCAUGCCACGCUCCAUGGCUGAAGCCACGGUACCAGCGGCAUACGCUAAUAACAUGCAGGGGCAGGGGCAUGGGCAUGUGCAUGUGCAUCCACAGAUGCCGUCCGUGCAGCGGCGGCCACGGAUGCUCUCGUUUGGGCCUCGCUCACCGUUUUCGGCUAUCCAGACUCAGCAAGCUGCACAGGCGCCGAACAUUAUGUUCAGUGCUGGUGCAAUGCCCGGUUCGCCAAGGGACCAGUUAUCGCCCCCAGUAGAGAAAAUGCACCCGAAUUGGUGA